GACGAACGCUGGCGGCGUGCUUAACACAUGCAAGUCGAACGGGAACCUUUAUUUCGGUAAAGGUGAGAGUGGCAAACGGGUGAGUAACACGUAGGCAACCUGCCGACAGGAUGGGGACAACAUUCCGAAAGGAAUGCUAAUACCGAAUGGAGUCCGGGGAUGGCAUCAUCCUCGGAUAAAAGAUGGCCUCUGAAUAUGCUAUCGCCUGUCGAUGGGCCUGCGUCUGAUUAGCCAGUUGGCGGGGUAACGGCCCACCAAAGCGACGAUCAGUAGCCGGUCUGAGAGGAUGAACGGCCACAUUGGGACUGAGACACGGCCCAGACUCCUACGGGAGGCAGCAGUGGGGAAUCUUUCCACAAUGGGCGAAAGCCCUGAUGGAGCAAACGCCGCGUGAGUGAAGAAAGGUCUUUCGGAUUCGUAAAGCUUCUGUUGCCACGGG
rnacentral:rRNA from 1 species